CAUAGACUAUUGGGCGUGUCCAUG
rnacentral:siRNA from 1 species